rnacentral:lncRNA from 1 species
GCCGCUCUCCACGGUUCGGAUCCAGGGCCCCAGCCUUCCUCUCUCCAUAAAAGGAGGGGGAGUCAGUCUUUGGGGAAGGAGGGGGGCGGGUUUGGGGCACUCACCUGGCGGCUGCCACGCGCCCCCGCCCAGGAUCCGAGGCCUGGGGCAUCUGAAUGAGGACCCUCCACCCACAUUUCCACUUGGGAGCGAGCUCCAGUCGGGGAAAGGGCCUGCAGCCCGCCUCGUCCCCACCCUGGGACCCCGCGCCCCCCAGUCCCCCACUCCCGCGCCGAAGGCAGGGCCGCGCCCUGAGCCGGGAAGUCGAGGGGAUGGAAGGGAAAGGAGCCACCGGUGAGGGUCCCCCGGGUUCUGAGCCUCCCGCGUCGGGAUCCGUGGGGCGCACAGAGCGCCACCUCCGGCCGAGGCGCAGCUCAGAGCGCGAUGCGGGGGAGGAACGCGCGCGGAGGCCGAGGUCUGAGCGUGGCUAGACGGCUCCCACGCCGAGAAAGGGCGGGUGCGCCUGGGCUGGAUGGAUUUCGCCUCCCUAGACCAGGAGGGAUUGGACCCUGACUACAGGUCCAGGUGCUCGUCAGUGCCCUGCCAGGGGGUCUACGCGUCCUGGUACCGGGUCCAGCGGGGUGGCGUGCUGUGCAGACCCCGAGGCUAGACGGCCUAGGCCCCUGGAGCCCAGGAGACGCUUCCUUGGGGGGAACUUGCGGCUUGGGAGGGGACACCCACUGCAUGGCUUCUGGAAAGAGCCGGACUCGCAGGGCCAGGACGCAGGCCGGACCCCGGCCUCAUUCUUCGGCCAGUUAUCCCGGAGUGGCGCGCAUCCUGUCUUCCUGGGCCUCGGACUGCUCGCGCGCAGAGGGGGCCCGAGGACACCUCUGUGGGGUUAGAGGACUCGCGGCCGCGCGAGGGAGGCGAAAACUUGUGCAGCCGCGCGACAGCCGCCUUCUGGGGAGACUCGGGGCACGACGCACCCGGCGUGGGACUGGGACCCCCCUGCCCGGCCCCGCCACAUUCUCCGCCGGAUCCCCGGAAGACACAAGGAGACGUGGACCCCCACAGGCUUUUUUGGGGGGAUUGGGCGUUGAAACCGCAGGGCUGACUUAACCAAGAGGUCACCGACUUGGAUAAAAAACCCACGCCCGCGCGGACCCCCCUCCCCGGCCUUCGUUUCCAUUCAAACUCCCAGCGUCCUCAUUGCAGCCCCUGGGGAGGGGGACGGAGGGACGAGGUGGGUUUCAGGUGCUCGGCCCAGGAGGGGACGGUGCGACCCGGGCCCCGCCGGCGGGUUUUGCGCGCGGAGGCUGCGGCACCUGCCCCGCCCGCCCUGCCGCGAUCCUUGCAGACGGGGGCGGUCACAUGCUUCUUUCUGGCCAGGAAUCGAGUUUCACUUCCAGCCGCUAUUAGUCGGUUCACACAGUUCACUGCAAACAUUUGAUAAUGAGGCUAAAUAUACUCCCGCGUCGGAGGAGGCGUGGGCGUCCCCGCCCAGGCCCGGGAGACAGAGGCGCUGACCCCGGGACAGAGCCUGGCUUUGUGCGGGAGGCAGACGCGCCCCGCGCGCCGCCCCCGAAACAUUCGCACCCCAUGCUGAGGCGCGCGUCUGGGAGUCCGUGGGCGCCCCGAGCGACGUCGAUGGCGCCAGGUGCCAAGCUCUUUCCUUGUAUAAUUUCAUGGACACUCACGCAUCAACUCUAAGCGAAGACUUGGAGCGGGGCUCAGCACCCCAGGGGUACCUCUGCAACCUCGAAAUGAAGUUGAAAAUAGCACAGGAGCCCACUAUCACUGUGUGAACAUUUUGUGAAUGAAGACAUGUAUGAAAGGAUGUUUGGAGGCUUCAAGAAACGAAAGCCGAGAGUCUAGCUAGACCAGAGCCAUCCAGCCCAGGAGCGAUGGCCACGUGUGGCCGCUGGACACGAGAGACGUGGCCAGUCCAAACUGUGCAGUGCGGUUGAAAAAAACAUUUUGGAUAUAUGGUGUUAAAUAAACAUGAUUACAAUGACUUUCGCUGUCAGCCUCCCGGAGGCUCAUUUUGCUCCUCUGGGCCACAGCCAGCUCAGAGGGUUGCUCUAGGAAAUAUCUACACGUUCUUGAAGCACAGGUUUAUGUGCCAGGCACUGUACUAAGUGCUGGGGACACGGCGUUAAGACCAGGCCCUCACGGAGCCCUCACUCUCUGAGGAGGAACAAUAAGUCAGAGAGCGCGCGAGUGCAGCCCUUCAGGCAAAGGAUUUCAGGCCCAGGUCAGGAAGGCCUUGUCUGAGGAGUCUGAGAAGAAGUCAAUUGACAACAGCUAGAACAUCUAGGUCAGGCACUCCAGGCCGACACGACAAAGCAGGUGCAAAGGCCCCAGGGCGGGAACCAGCGUGGCUUGUUCACAGAACAAGGAGGUAGAUCGCUUGCCCUUGGGACCAAAGGAAGGCUCUGGAUUUUAUUCUAGGGGCAGUGGAAGCCGUUGGAGGGCCUCAGGCAGGAACACAAGGUGUCGUGGCAGAAAGGAAGAAGGGGCCGGGCACGGUGGCCCACACCCGUCAUCCCAGCACUUUGGGAGGGAGGCCAAGGCAGGAGGAUCGCUUCAAUCCAGGAGUUCAAGAUCAGCCUGGGCAACACAGCAAGACCCCGUCUCUACUAAAACCCUAAAACUUAGCCAGGCUUGGUGGCAUGUGCCUAAGGUCCCAGGUCCUCGGGAGACUAAGGCAGGAGGAUUGCUUAAGCCCAAGAGUUUGAGGCUGCAGUGAACUAUUAUCACACCACUGCACUCAGCCUGGGUGACAGAGUGACUCUGUCUCAAAACUAAAUAAAUAAACAAUAAUUGUGUUAUUCUGUCUCCAUUUCUCGCAUACUGAAUUUAAGGUGGACUCAGCCAGCGGGUUCAGGCCCAGGGUCUGUCCUGCAGCUACAGUCAGGGUUGGUGGCUGCAGCUGUCAUGGGGGAGCGG